CCUAAACCCACCCCUGUUCGACUCGCGGUAAUGAGGUCACCUGUCGCGGGCGGCUCGCGGUCUGUUUGCAGUGAUCAAUCUAUCCAUUGCUGCGUCUCGUUAAACUUAAACGGUUGGUCUCCCAAACCGUUUAUCAGUCUAAUGUUUUAACAUACGGUGAACCGCGAGGUCACGAACACUUUUCGAAGUAAAACGGACCACAAGAUCUGGAGCAGCUGGCCUUUUCAUUUGGUGUUUGGGGCUGAAGGUGGUGCUGGCUUGGAGUGAGGCCGGUACGAGAAACGUAUGUUAUGGUGAACCGCAAGGUCACGAACACUUUUCGAAGUAAAACGGACCGCAAGAUCUGGAGCAGCUGUCAAGAAGAAUAAACAGAUUCUGUGAGUAUCCCAAUUGAACCAUGAAGAAGAAACUGCGAACUGUAAGUCCAGAUUUUUCCUUUUUGGGGCAUCAUUUUGGCCCCCUGUUUGGUCUGGUUGGUCAGGGUCGAUGGGUGAAGGUUGAUAUAGUUAAAAGUAGUGCAGUAUAGGUUCUAAGUGAAUGGUGUACCACUAGUUGGAUCUCUAUGGGUAGAGCUAUAACAUACUCCAGGGUUGUGUUCAGACUUUCUUCUGCCCACUUCGCCACUACUUCCCUGAACCUUGCAUCACUUUACGUGUGUUGUCUUACUGAUGGGGGUCUGGUCUGAGCGAUCAGAGAUGCAUGUUGGGGUACUGUGCUGUCUGAAGUCUACAGUUCUGUAGACGUGCCCUCUCAGGGGAAAACAAGUGUUUAAGAGGCCGUCAUAACGUCAGUUACGUGAAGGGGAAUGUCUAUCAAGAUGGUGACGGGACUCCCCGGAGGAGAAACGCAUGGGGCAAGAUGUGAGGGCUCCUCCUCUCAGCAACUAGAACACAGCCUGGUUCCUGCACCUGAGAACCAUGGAGCAUCUGUCAACGUUCCCCUCCAUACAUCUUGAAGCCAUAGCGACGGUUUCUCUACCUCCACAGCUGGAGGAGAGCACAAUCGCAGCUCAGAAUGGGUUCAUGUUGGGGUCUUUCCCGGUUGGUUUCUGAUAUGAGGGGACCAUCUUCCAGGCCCAGCUGGCCUCGCCCAUUACUCCGCAGUACAGCCCUGAGAAAGACUUGCAUCUGAGCCAGCAGAGGGCUCAUCGGCCUGCUCAGAUGGGAUGAAGAGGAUCCUGCUGUUCAAGACCCACCACCCCUCCACUGGGUGGGCCUUCUCAACAGACCACCUACCUCACCCCUUCCAUCAAAUCCUGUCCCCGUCCUCGGGCUCAUUAAGCGGCAAGAUUUGAAUCUGAGCAUCACUGUGGACAGUACUGAACAAUAUUUAACGAUGAGAAUGAUAACGGGUACGACUUGGCUCAGAGGUAGUGCGGGUUGACUUGUAACCGGAAGGUUGCUAGUUUAAUUUCUGGCUGCUCCUAGUGUAGUGCAGAGGUUUCCUGGAGAAGGACACCUUUGUUGAAUGCCAAAUGUCCUAAAUGUAAAUAAUGUUUGUCUAUACUGCUUGUUAAUAAAGUCUUAAAUUCGUAUUUCCUUCACACAUGUGUGCGCCUGGUCAGAGUUCGACCAUGCAUGAGGUUCAUAUGUCAGAUUUUAACAUGCUAAUGGUUCUUUGUGUGAGUGGUCAGCUUUUAACCUGACAAAUGGUUCGUCGUGUGAGUGGUCAGCUUUUAAUCUGGCAAAUGGUUCUUCGUGUGAGUGGUCAGCUUUUAACCUGGCAAAUGGUUCUUCGUGUGAGUGGUCAGCUUUUAACCUGGCCAAUGGUUUGAGUGAGUGGUCAGCUUUUAACCUGGCCAAUGGUGUGUGAGUGGUCAGCUUUUAACCUGGCCAAUGGUGUGUGAGUGGUCAGCUUUUAACCUGGCAAAUGGUUUGUGUGAGUGGUCAGCUUUUAACCUGGCCAAUGGUGUGAGUGCCUGGUCAGCUUUUAACCUGGCCAAUGGUUUGUGUGAGCCUGGUCAGGGUUCUGGUCCCCUCAAGAAACUGUUGCUUUAGGUGGAGGCCCAUUAUAUGUUUUGACUUUUCAGCUACGUUUCUGGAUGAGUUCAGCCCGACCAAAUCACCACGGAAACAAAGUGAGUGGUACAGACACUGACUGAUUGAUGCCAACCGGCUCAGAUCGUCACGACAAACGAGGUCUACGAUGGGAAAGAGCAAUAGAUGCCUGAAACAAUGGAUGAUGGCCUCCGGAUGGACAGAAGUUUGGAAAUGUACCAAAAGAUCUUUGGAAAUGGUUACUUAAGCAUGAGAGUCGGCGACGUGGCUGCCCUUCCUAACCCCGAGAGUACGAUGGCUGGCGGGCCCUGUGGAUCAAGACUUCUGUGCUGUGAUGAAAGCCUAGCUCAGGCCGAGGUAUAAUUUAUAGGUCCACCUGAUUCAGAAACCAACCUUGGAAACAUCCCAACCAUGGUCCUCUUCAAGCUGCAGUUAUGCUGUUCUCCAGAGGAGGAGGUAAAGAAACCCUCACUGGGGCUUCAAGAUGUAUGAAGAGGAACAUUGAAAUCUGCUCCAUGGUUCUCUCAAGUAGGAGCUAGGUUGUAUUCUACUCGCUAACUGUUGGAGCCCUUCCAUCCUACCCUUGGUGUCUCUCUUUGGGGAGUCCCUGUCACGGUCCUGAAGGAUGUUCCAGUUUGUGUAACGGAUGUUACGACAGCCUUUGAACACUUGGUUUCUUUUGAGGGGGUACAUCUACAGAACUGUGGUCUUCAGAUGGCAUAUUAUCCUACCUUGCAUCUCUGGUCACCAAGACCACACCCAGAUCAGUAAGGCAACAAUCAUGCAAUGUGAAUGCAACGUUUGGAGAGUAGCAAGGAAGUGGAGAAAAGGUGUAAGAGCAUCUCAAGUCUGUAGCUCUGUUAAGGGGGAGGGGAGAUUAAUGGUUUAUUUUAGCACGUUGUUUCCCUAAAAAAUACACUUUAUACCUGUAAAUAUCUAGAUAAUUUACAAAAGUGGUCUGAGAUAAGGGAUGUCAGUUAAAGAUAUUCGGGUUAACUGUGGUUACCAAACAUGAUGGUUAUACGUUUAUUGUACAGUUCUAAGCCUUGUUUAUUGUUAGUCAAUUUGUUAGAUGGGGGGAACUGUGUAGUUAAAAUUACUAGUUCUGUACAUAAACCAACAGCAACAAACUACUAGAUCGACUCAAGGUAAGUCUGUUGGCUGUAUUGUGAGAUGAGACGAUGGACCCCAAGUUCUUCAUCCUCGUUCAGCUCAAGGUGAGGUGCUGGUUACGUUACUUAUUUCUGGUUAGGUUUGCAGUGGAGUGUUGGUAUUCCAGUUGGAAUAUCAUUCAUCACUAAUGAGUUUACACUAUUGGGUCAUCUGGCAGUACGAGUAGGAUUGGCAUUUGCGUAACCAUCACUAACGAGGGUACCCUAUUGGGUCAACUGGCAGUACGAUCAGGAUUGGCAUUUGCGUUACCUCAUCACUAAUGUGUUUACACGAUUUCCAUCUAACCAUCUGGCAAAUUUGUCUUGUGCUUUAGGUAAGACAUAAUUCUAAAACAUAACAUUAGUUGCUGAAUUGUUGUGCGUUUAUCUCCAAAUUUUACCUACGACUUGGCUAACUGCGCUGUACUUAAGUCAACUGACUCUCACUGCGUACCGAACUCCAUUCUUGCACGCACAUUUUUGAGUCGCGAAUAAGAUCGGAGAGAAUUUGGCAUUUUCAAACUACGGAGUACGAUCGUCCCAGCAGCUGAAUGUGGCAAAGUAUAAUUUGACUAUUAAAUUAACUAUUGAUACUGCUAGUGAGGUAAAUAUCUGGGCUGUAAGUUUCAGUUAAACUCUACCAAAAUGCAUGUAAUUACUUUUUUAUUAUUUUUUUGUGGUGAAUAGUUAGGUAACCUUAUGAAAUUAAUCAGCAGCUAAAAUCAUGGAACCAUGUCCCACAUGCUUAUACAGUAAUAUGGACUAAAUAACUGUACAGAGCUGAACUUGUAACUGUAGUUUGUGUCCCCAGGUGUCUGCCUCCACACCUCCCUGCUGUCACCACUGGUCUAAGAAGUCCAUAACGGUUAGUGUGGGAGGCGCAGCUCCAGUACUUGCUUUCUUGAACCUGUGUGAUGCACAAGAUGUUGAUCCAACCGCACAGUGAGCUCUGCAGGGUGGUCAGGACGGCUGUAGACGUGGAGGACGGGGCGGGGAGCCAGGCUCACCAGUGACCCGUGGUGCAGGGCAGCUAGUGGGGAGCAGUGCUGGAGGACCUGCUGGGAAGGACAUCCCUCGUUGGGGUAAAGACACCCGUCUCUGAGAUGUGAAGGCUGCAGAGGACCCACCAGGAUCCCCUUGGAGGACAACAAUUGGACUACGUGAGGUCUUUGGAAGCACUACAGUUCUGAAUGCCUUCCAAAGAAUGAAGCCCACCCCCCAUGGCUCAGCUAGUGGUGUUCAGCGGACCAGGAACCCCGAGACCUGAAGGAGGAGCCGUGCAUCUGGAGGAACACCAUGAGGCUACCCGCCAAGUAUUACUCUGAGCUCUGCAGGGUGGGCAGGACGGCUGUAGACGUGGAGGACGGGCGGGGAGCCAGGCUCACCAGUGUAAGUGGCGUUUGAUUGGGUCCUUUAACUUGCUGUUGUGAUACUAUGGAAUAUAUUUGUUCUGAUGUGUCAAUGUUGCAUCCAU
ensembl:lncRNA